CAUGCAGACACAAACACAACCAAACUAAGAUUUAAUGGGAGUGUGGUGUGGCCCGACAAACCUUUCACUCAGUUCAAACCUGGGAAAGUUCAAUUUUCUGAUGGAAUUGGACUCACGGAACGGAGUUUCCGUCAGGGGCAUUGGUUGGAAUAAGAAAUUUUGGUUUUGCAUGUCGGCUUAUUUCCUAAAUUUGGAAUAAGAAGUUUUUGUUUUUAUUAUAUUAUAUUUUGUACUUUUAUUAAAUUUUAAGCUUUUUAUAUUAAAAAAAAUUAUAAAAUAGUUUUUGGUUAAAAUAAACUUAGUUGAAGUCGUUUUCUUUAAAAUUCGUAAACUUAUUUUGUCAAUACAAUUCCUAAUUUACCCCUAAAAGUGGAACGGAAUUUCGAAAAAAAACCACCCUCCCCGCGCCGAACAACUCACAGCAUCCAAUCACCCACUGCUCGCCGCCAUGAACUCACGGCAAGACAACUACCACCUCCAUUGAUGGCGAUAAUUACAACAGCGACACCACAUUAAUUCUCUCACUUCCUACUCUUAAUUUUCUCCUCUUCCAUUCUUACCUCGUCAUGGAGCCCGAGGGUGAUCGGCGACAACUCCAACCUUCAGAUCUGCUGUCCCCAACCUCUGAUCAAAGUUCAGGGGGUCCGACGAUAAUUUAUAGUGCCCCUCUUCGAUGUAAAGGAAGGUAGAAGGAGAUAGAAAGAAAAAGGGAGAGGCGAAGGGAGAGAUGGGUGGGGGUAGGGCGGAGGUCGGAGACUCCGACGAAUAUGUGGGACGGUUUCUUUAAUUAACUUUUUUUGUUUUUAUUUUUAAUUUAUUUUCUGAAAAUUUUCUCCUCCUAUACACGUGUUGGGUCGACCAUCAGAUGGGGAUGGGUUACCAGAGAGAGCCUGAAGAAUUCCAACGCUUCUCCUGAACGAGGUUUAGCUGAGCAAUUCCACUUCUCUCUCUCACAAAUCUGCUUUCGUCGCUCUCGACUUCUGCUUCCAUCUCACAGAGGGUAGAGUUGCUAUCGGUCAGAUGGAGGAAUGGGUGUGAGAUUCGGUGAGAGGAAGGAGAGGGAGGAGCAGGGAGAUGGGCUCGAGUUUGCGAACGGCGGAAGAGAUCUUCAGGGAUUACAGUGCUCGGAGAACCGACGCCGACACGCUUUAACUAACACUAGGGUCUAGAUGAGUCUACCUGCUAUGGUGAAGAUGGAAGAUGCUAAGCCUGAAGUUCAGCUUCCAACAAUUCAAAUUCCGAGAGCCGCGAUUAUGGUCUUCUCCAAGAUCGAUUUACUGAUUUGUGCAAGAAGGUAUUUGUCAUUGGACGAGAACUCCUACAAGCAAGCUGCAAAUCUGUUCAAAAAAACCAAGAUCUGUUAAUAUCAAAUGCGUCAGCUAUUGGCAAGGGAACAGUACGUAUUGUUAUUUCUCCAUUCUAUAGUCGUGUUAAUAAUGUUAUGUUGAAAUAAGGUCUGAGGUGAUAUCCUUUUGCCGGGAUUUCCUCUGACAAGUGACAACCCCAUUAGGCCCUUGAGAUGGCAGGUGAGUCAUCAACUCGAGUUAUGUGACUCAAAGGAUGGGGCAAGGCAAAUGAGAAAACUGAAUUCAUUGUGAUUUGCGGUCUGACAGUGAAGAUGUAUUUCAGACCGUUUCUUCGAUCAGGAAGAAUUACUCCUCCAAAUUGGACCAGAUUAUUUAUGGUUUUUAAUGAUUUACAGAGCUCCUGGGUUGUCAAUUGUGACUACUACUCACAUGGAUUAUAGCACUUAUGCAAACUUCAGAGCAUACAGGAAAGCAAUGUUUUCCAUUUGGGGUACAAAGAACCAAAUAUGUUAUCGACGUCUUCAAUGAACUUAUUACUUUUAAUUGUUUAGUUUAAUUGAUGUUUGGAUGCUUAAAAAUAUUUUUCGUUUCGUCUUUUUGAACUGAACGGAUAAUCAAAUUGGAAUAGAUUCUAUUUUUUUUUUAAUUUUUUUUUUUUUUUUUGUUAGUUCAUUUUGUUUAAGCCCCGAAAUUAGAACAAAAAAGCUUGCAUGAAAUUUGAAGUUCUCUGUGAUUGAGAACUCAUUUUAAUUCUACUUGAAGUUUUCUCUAAUUGAUUUCUGGAUUUAUUAAAUUGUGGGUUACAAUUUCAAAACCUGCAGCAAAACGUGGGCAUUUUUGCUAGUAUGGUCCCUAAAAUUCAGCUACGUAAAAUUUGACAGAGAUUACUAGAAUCACAAUAUCAAUUAUUAUAACGAAUGGCAAAUCGAACCAAAUAAUUAAGAAAGUAUCUCGACAGAAUACUCUUGUGUAACUGGUUAUUUAUGCAAGUACGAAUUUCAAAAAGCUGAACGCUAUAUGUUUCAGCCACACAAUUUGAAACACACUAGUAAUGAGGGCGGUGUAGAUAUCAAAUACAUGUUAUGAAGCUCGUUGUAAACAUUAAAAAUAAAAAUAAUAAAAUAAAUUUCCCCAACAUCUCCUUAUUUGAUAGAUUGCUCGUAGCAAGAAUUCUAAUCUGAAGUUGGAGCUACCCAUUUCUCCUAGUUUUAUAGGGUCGAUAACUUCUUGAUGGUAAGCAUACCAAAUGGCUCAGGAAGGCAAGGAAGACUCUGCGCUGAUAG